rnacentral:rRNA from 1 species
UGGGGAAUAUUGCACAAUGGGCGCAAGCCUGAUGCAGCCAUGCCGCGUGUAUGAAGAAGGCCUUCGGGUUGUAAAGUACUUUCAGCGGGGAGGAAGGCGAUAAGGUUAAUAACCUUGUCGAUUGACGUUACCCGCAGAAGAAGCACCGGCUAACUCCGUGCCAGCAGCCGCGGUAAUACGGAGGGUGCAAGCGUUAAUCGGAAUUACUGGGCGUAAAGCGCACGCAGGCGGUCUGUCAAGUCGGAUGUGAAAUCCCCGGGCUCAACCUGGGAACUGCAUUCGAAACUGGCAGGCUAGAGUCUUGUAGAGGGGGGUAGAAUUCCAGGUGUAGCGGUGAAAUGCGUAGAGAUCUGGAGGAAUACCGGUGGCGAAGGCGGCCCCCUGGACGAAGACUGACGCUCAGGUGCGAAAGCGUGGGGAGCAAACA